GAUGAACGCUGGCGGCGUGCCUAAUACAUGCAAGUCGAGCGAACAGACGAGGAGCUUGCUCCUCUGACGCUAGCGGCGGACGGGUGAGUAACACGUGGAUAACCUACCUAUAAGACUGGGAUAACUUCGGGAAACCGGAGCUAAUACCGGAUAAUAUAUUGAACCGCAUGGUUCAAUAGUGAAAGACGGUUUUGCUGUCACUUAUAGAUGGAUCCGCGCCGCAUUAGCUAGUUGGUAAGGUAACGGCUUACCAAGGCAACGAUGCGUAGCCGACCUGAGAGGGUGAUCGGCCACACUGGAACUGAGACACGGUCCAGACUCCUACGGGAGGCAGCAGUAGGGAAUCUUCCGCAGUAGGCGAAAGCUUGACGGAGCAACGCCGCGUGAGUGAUGAAGGUCUUCGGAUCGUAAAACUCUGUUAUUAGGGAAGAACAAAUGUGUAAGUAACUAUGCACGUCUUGACGGUACCUAAUCAGAAAGCCACGGCUAACUACGUG
rnacentral:rRNA from 1 species